rnacentral:ncRNA from 2 species
UAUCUUUGCCGCUGCAUGGGUGGCCAGACCCCGAUUGGGGGGCGCGGCUGAAAAGGGAAUGCCGUGAAAUUCGGCGACUGUCCCCGCAACUGUGAGCUUCAUUACCAUGCGUCGGGCCUCUCUUCGCCACUGUUCCGCUGAUGGCGGCCUUCAUUAGGCCGCCGGAGGGAUGGGAAGGCCGCCCGACGCGAAGCAAGUCAGGAGACCUGCCCCUGCACAUCUUAGUGU